rnacentral:rRNA from 1 species
GAGGCCACUGCUAUCGGAGUUCGAUUAAGCCAUGCGAGUCGAGAGGUGCAAGACCUCGGCAUACUGCUCAGUAACACGUGGACAAUCUAACCUAUGGAAGGGGAUAACCCCGGGAAACUGGGGAUAAUACCCUAUAGACUAUGGAUGCUGGAAUGCUUUGUAGUCGAAAGGUCCGCCGCCAUAGGAUGGGUCUGCGGCCUAUCAGGUAGUAGUGGGUGUAGCGUACCUACUAGCCUACGACGGGUACGGGUUGUGAGAGCAAGAGCCCGGAGAUGGAUUCUGAGACACGAGUCCAGGCCCUACGGGGUGCAGCAGGCGCGAAAACUUUACAAUGCUGGCAACAGCGAUAAGGGAACCUCGAGUGCCAGGUUACAAAUCUGGCUGUCGAGAUGCCUAAAAAGCAUUUCAUAGCAAGGGCCGGGCAAGACCGGUGCCAGCCGCCGCGGUAACACCGGCGGCUCGAGUGGUAACCGUUAUUAUUGGGUCUAAAGGGUCUGUAGCCGGCCGGAUAAGUCUCUUGAGAAAUCUGGCAGCUUAACUGUCAGGCUUUCAGGAGAUACUGUCUGGCUCGAGGCCGGGAGAGGUGAGAGGUACUUCAGGGGUAGGGGUGAAAUCUUGUAAUCCUUGAAGGACCACCAGUGGCGAAGGCGUCUCACCAGAACGGACCUGACGGCAAGGGACGAAAGCUAGGGGCACGAACCGGAUUAGAUACCCGGGUAGUCCUAGCCGUAAACGAUACUCGCUAGGUGUCGGCCACGGUGCGACCGUUGUCGGUGCCGUAGGGAAGCCGUGAAGCGAGCCACCUGGGAAGUACGGCCGCAAGGCUGAAACUUAAAGGAAUUGGCGGGGGAGCACCACAACGGGUGGAGCUUGCGGUUU